rnacentral:lncRNA from 1 species
UUGGUGUUUAUUAGAAUCAAUUCUUUGUGGGUUCGACAACUCUCUUAUAAUUGUAUUACUUGUUGACCGCAUAUACUUGCGCAUGUGUGUUUUCGAUUGCAAAAUCGACCAACAACCUUCUUUGAGUCUCCUCCUCAACGGCUAAGCCACCAAAUCUCAUCUUCUGAUGUCUUCGCUGAGUCUCGUCCUCAAUGGAUAUAC